rnacentral:rRNA from 1 species
UUGAACGCUGGCGGCAGGCCUAACACAUGCAAGUCGAACGGUAACAGGAAGCAGCUUGCUGUUUCGCUGACGAGUGGCGGACGGGUGAGUAAUGUCUGGGAAACUGCCUGAUGGAGGGGGAUAACUACUGGAAACGGUAGCUAAUACCGCAUAACGUCGCAAGACCAAAGAGGGGGACCUUCGGGCCUCUUGCCAUCGGAUGUGCCCAGAUGGGAUUAGCUAGUAGGUGGGGUAACGGCUCACCUAGGCGACGAUCCCUAGCUGGUCUGAGAGGAUGACCAGCCACACUGGAACUGAGACACGGUCCAGACUCCUACGGGAGGCAGCAGUGGGGAAUAUUGCACAAUGGGCGCAAGCCUGAUGCAGCCAUGCCGCGUGUAUGAAGAAGGCCUUCGGGUUGUAAAGUACUUUCAGCGGGGAGGAAGGGAGUAAAGUUAAUACCUUUGCUCAUUGACGUUACCCGCAGAAGAAGCACCGGCUAACUCCGUGCCAGCAGCCGCGGUAAUACGGAGGGUGCAAGCGUUAAUCGGAAUUACUGGGCGUAAAGCGCACGCAGGCGGUUUGUUAAGUCAGAUGUGAAAUCCCCGGGCUCAACCUGGGAACUGCAUCUGAUACUGGCAAGCUUGAGUCUCGUAGAGGGGGGUAGAAUUCCAGGUGUAGCGGUGAAAUGCGUAGAGAUCUGGAGGAAUACCGGUGGCGAAGGCGGCCCCCUGGACGAAGACUGACGCUCAGGUGCGAAAGGGUGGGGAGCAAACAGGAUUAGAUACCCUGGUAGUCCACGCCGUAAACGAUGUCGACUUGGAGGUUGUGCCCUUGAGGCGUGGCUUCCGGAGCUAACGCGUUAAGUCGACCGCCUGGGGAGUACGGCCGCAAGGUUAAAACUCAAAUGAAUUGACGGGGGCCCGCACAAGCGGUGGAGCAUGUGGUUUAAUUCGAUGCAACGCGAAGAACCUUACCUGGUCUUGACAUCCACAGAACUUUCCAGAGAUGGAUUGGUGCCUUCGGGAACUGUGAGACAGGUGCUGCAUGGCUGUCGUCAGCUCGUGUUGUGAAAUGUUGGGUUAAGUCCCGCAACGAGCGCAACCCUUAUCCUUUGUUGCCAGCGGUCCGGCCGGGAACUCAAAGGAGACUGCCAGUGAUAAACUGGAGGAAGGUGGGGAUGACGUCAAGUCAUCAUGGCCCUUACGACCAGGGCUACACACGUGCUACAAUGGCGCAUACAAAGAGAAGCGACCUCGCGAGAGCAAGCGGACCUCAUAAAGUGCGUCGUAGUCCGGAUUGGAGUCUGCAACUCGACUCCAUGAAGUCGGAAUCGCUAGUAAUCGUGGAUCAGAAUGCCACGGUGAAUACGUUCCCGGGCCUUGUACACACCGCCCGUCACACCAUGGGAGUGGGUUGCAAAAGAAGUAGGUAGCUUAACCUUCGGGAGGGCGCUUACCACUUUGUGAUUCAUGACUGGGGUG